rnacentral:lncRNA from 1 species
GCAGAUUUAAAAAAGGCAGGAGUUGUGUCCUAGAGAAACCUUUUCUUCCCUUGAACUUUUUCAGAAAAGCUUUCCUGCUUUGGGCCCUCAUCUCCAGAGGAAUCCAUUGUGCAAAAUGUAGAAUACGGACCUAUAGAAAUAUUGGCUUAUUAACAUGUAUUUUUCUUUGGCAUUGCCCAUGCAUGCGCUAAAUGCAGACUUUUCAUUUUUGGGAAGGGUAAGGUGAGCUAUUUAAAUUUACUUGAUUUCAGGAAAUAUCCACAGAGACAUCCUAGACCCUCAAGAACCUUGCAUCUGUGUUCAAACAGUUGAAUUUAAACAAACAGUUGUGGAAGCCGGAAGUUCAAAAUCAAGAUGUCAGCAGUGUGUGUCAGUUCCUUCUGGAGUCUCGAGGAAGGAUCCGUUGUAUGAGUCUCUCCUUCCCUCUGUGCUGCAACUCCUGAAACCUGAAGUCUGUGACUCACCAGUUCUAAGCCCCAGAGUCCUGAUGGGGCACCUCAAGGAGACACUUCAGCCACCUAAGUCAGCUGGACCACCCCAUGACACAGUCAUGGAGGUUCCAGUCUGAAUUCAGAGUCAAUGAUAAGGGAGGCUUCCGUGGCAGAGUGAAAAGCACACACCUGAGAAAUGAAAAGAAAUGGCAAAGGUCACACGUCUCAGGAUGAAUUGCACUGUGUGUGACACCCUAGCUGAAAUCCUAUCCCACAGGACCAUCAGCCUGGAAUGCAGUUUGAAGAUAUGUGCAGAAGAAAUGCCCAAGCCGACCCCGGACCUACAGUGAGAAGCAGAACAGCCCAGAGAAGCUCAGCCUAGGGCAACAGAGACAGCCUAGUCAACCUACAGAUCUGGGACAAUAAAUGCUUCUGCUUUUAAGCCACCG